GUAGGUGGCAAGCGUUGUCCGGAAUUAUUGGGCGUAAAGCGCGCGCAGGUGGUUCUUUAAGUCUGAUGUGAAAGCCCCCGGGCUCAACCGGGGAGGGUCAUUGGAAACUGGGGAACUUGAGUGCAGGAGAGGAAAGUGGAAUUCCACGUGUAGCGGUGAAAUGCGUAGAUAUGUGGAGGAACACCAGUGGCGAAGGCGACUUUCUGGCCUGUAACUGACACUGAGGCGCGAAAGCGUGGGGAGCAAACAGGAUUAGAUACCCUGGUAGUCCACGCCGUAAACGAUGAGUGCCAAGUGUUGGGGGGUUUCCGCCCCUCAGUGCUGCAGCUAACGCAUUAAGCACUCCGCCUGGGGAGUACGGUCGCAAAGACUG
rnacentral:rRNA from 1 species